rnacentral:rRNA from 1 species
AGAGUUUAAUUACGACUCUAGCACGAACUUCCAGCUCUAUACAGACUUUGUUGGUGAGGGUAAUGGCUCACCAAAGGUGAGCGACCGGGUUAGCUGGCCUCGAACACGUUAGCGCGGGCUGACACUGCGACUAGAACACGAUCUGGACUUCUAUCGGAAGGCAGCAGUCGCGAAUUAUUGCAUCAUGGGCUGCAAGCUUGAUGCAGCGAUCGCCGCUGAAGGGAUGACGGGCUUUCGGGUGUAAACCUCUUUCAGUAGGGAAGAAGCGAAAGUGACGUUCCUGCAGAAGAAGCACGGCUAACUACGUGCCAGCAGCCGCGGUAAUACGUAGGGUGCGAGUGUUAUCCGGAAUUAUUGGGCGUAAAGAGCUCGUAGGCGGUUUGUCGCGUCUGUCGUGAAAGUCCGGGGCUUAACCCCGGAUCUGCGGUGGGUACGGGCAGACUAGAGUGCAGUAGGGGAGACUGGAAUUCCUGGUGUAGCGGUGGAAUGCGCAGAUAUCAGGAGGAACACCGAUGGCGAAGGCAGGUCUCUGGGCUGUAACUGACGCUGAGGAGCGAAAGCAUGGGGAGCGAACAGGAUUAGAUACCCUGGUAGUCCAUGCCGUAAACGUUGGGCACUAGGUGUGGGGACCAUUCCACGGUUUCCGCGCCGCAGCUAACGCAUUAAGUGCCCCGCCUGGGGAGUACGGCCGCAAGGCUAAAACUCAAAGGAAUUGACGGGGGCCCGCACAAGCGGCGGAGCAUGCGGAUUAAUUCGAUGCAACGCGAAGAACCUUACCAAGGCUUGACAUGUUCUCGAUCGCCGUAGAGAUACGGCAGGUGGUGCAUGGUUGUCGUCAGCUCGUGUCGUGAGAUGUUGGGUUAAGUCCCGCAACGAGCGCAACCCCAGCACGUAGUGGUGGGGACUCAUGGGAGACUGCCGGGGUCAACUCGGAGGAAGGUGAGGACGACGUCAAAUCAUCAUGCCCCUUAUGUCUUGGGCUUCACGCAUGCUACAAUGGCCGGUACAAUGGGUUGCGAUACUGUGAGGUGGAGCUAAUCCCAAAAAGCCGGUCUCAGUUCGGAUUGGGGUCUGCAACUCGACCCCAUGAAGUCGGAGUCGCUAGUAAUCGCAGA